GACGAACGCUGGCGGCGUGCUUAACACAUGCCAGUCGAACGGAAAGGCCCUGCUUUUGUGGGGUGCUCGAGUGGCGAACGGGUGAGUAACACGUGAGUAACCUGCCCUUGACUUUGGGAUAACUUCAGGAAACUGGGGCUAAUACCGGAUAGGAGCUCCUGCUGCAUGGUGGGGGUUGGAAAGUUUCGGCGGUUGGGGAUGGACUCGCGGCUUAUCAGCUUGUUGGUGGGGUAGUGGCUUACCAAGGCUUUGACGGGUAGCCGGCCUGAGAGGGUGACCGGCCACAUUGGGCCUGAGCUACGGCCCAGACUCCUACGGGAGGCAGCAGUGGGGAAUAUUGCACAAUGGGCGGAAGCCUGAUGCAGCAACGCCGCGUGCGGGAUGACGGCCUUCGGGUUGUAAACCGCUUUCGCCUGUGACGAAGCGUGAGUGACGGUAAUGGGUAAAGAAGCACCGGCUAACUACGUG
rnacentral:rRNA from 1 species